rnacentral:rRNA from 1 species
GACGGAGGGGGCUAGCGUUGUUCGGAAUUACUGGGCGUAAAGCGCGCGUAGGCGGACCUGCAAGUCGAGGGUGAAAGCCCGAGGCUCAACCUCGGAACUGCCUUCGAUACUGCGGGUCUCGAGUCCGGGAGAGGUGAGUGGAAUUCCUAGUGUAGAGGUGAAAUUCGUAGAUAUUAGGAAGAACACCAGUGGCGAAGGCGGCUCACUGGCCCGGUACUGACGCUGAGGCGCGAAAGCGUGGGGAGCAAACAGG